CUGCGGAGGGAUCAUUACACAAAUAUGAAGGCGGGCUGGAACCUCUCGGGGUUACAGCCUUGCUGAAUUAUUCACCCUUGUCUUUUGCGUACUUCUUGUUUCCUUGGUGGGUUCGCCCACCACUAGGACAAACAUAAACCUUUUGUAAUUGCAAUCAGCGUCAGUAACAAAUUAAUAAUUACAACUUUCAACAACGGAUCUCUUGGUUCUGGCAUCGAUGAAGAACGCAGCGAAAUGCGAUAAGUAGUGUGAAUUGCAGAAUUCAGUGAAUCAUCGAAUCUUUGAACGCACAUUGCGCCCUUUGGUAUUCCAAAGGGCAUGCCUGUUCGAGCGUCAUUUGUACCCUCAAGCUUUGCUUGGUGUUGGGCGUCUUGUCUCUAGCUUUGCUGGAGACUCGCCUUAAAGUAAUUGGCAGCCGGCCUACUGGUUUCGGAGCGCAGCACAAGUCGCACUCUCUAUCAGCAAAGGUCUAGCAUCCAUUAAGCCUUUUUUUCAACUUUUGACCUCGGAUCAUGUAGGUUUAGCGGCGUGAACUUAAGCAUAUCAAUAAGCCGGAGGAA
rnacentral:rRNA from 1 species